ensembl:lncRNA
UAUAUAUAUAUAUAUAUAUAUAUAUAUAUAUAAAUAUUUACCAUACACUUUGUGUUGAAAGAAAAUAAAAAAAAUAUUUUCAUCUCUGCCCUUAUAUCAAUUGAUAUUUGUUAUUGACAGAAAUUAAACCCCAAGUGUUGACAUCUGUAUCGAAACAGAAAAAGCUGUUGGUGCAUCCCUAUUUUCAAAUAAUUUCAAAGACCUUUUAUUACAUUGUAUAGCUUAUGGCUGCUAUAGUCAUCCUUAUGCCAUUAUUUAUGUCUAAAUAGGUCAGAAGAACUACAAAGCUACCAAAAGCUGUUAGUGUCAAAUGAACAUGUAAAAUGGCAUGGGAUGGCACAUUGUAUUCACUUCCUUGAACACUGACUGACACAUGGUCAGAGAUAUGUUGUCCUUUUGUAGUUAUUGUUUUUAUUGUAUUUUACAUAGUUAUUUAUUAGGCUAUGCCAUCGGUUGAUAUUAUUACUGUCAGAUACAUUGUAUGACUGCUAUUCAAAAUGUGUUGUAUUGCAUGAUAUUGUAGGCUACUUUACUUUAUUUCAAUAUUUAUCAUUUUAAAAUCAAGUAGUUCGCAUUAUUUGUUACUUGAAUCUUCAUUUAUGUACGGUGCUUGUUCUUUGUUAAAGUGCAUGACAGGUUAGACUACUCAUUUAAUACUUGACAAAAAACGUGCCUAGUCUACAAUUUGACUUCCUGGUUCGACAUAGCUAGCAGAUGUGACCUAGCAACCAUAAUUUAAACAAGAGCCAAAACUUGUCUAACUACACAAUAGGCAUGAUUAGGCUAAUAAAAUUAAACAACAAUGCCUUUACUGAGUUAAAUGAAGAUUUGAACUGUCAUAAAAAUGUCUUCCUUGCACAUGAAUUCGUGUUGAUGACAUUUGUAGAGGUAUUCCAUUUUAGAACUCAGCGCUACUUCCUGCAUUUUUGUAUUUUUCUCCUCAACUUUUUUUUCCACCAAACUGACACUUAACUGAUGUAAAACUACAACCCCAAUUCCAAUUAAGUUGGGACACUGUAAAACUUAAAAAAAAAAAAAAAAAAAAAAAAAUACAGAAUACAAUGAUUUGCAAAUCAUUUUCAACCUAUAUUGAACUGAAUAAACUACAAAGAUAUAUUUAAAGUUCAAACUGAUAAAUUGUAUUGUUUUUAUGCAAAUAUUCACUUAUUUUCAAUUUGAUGUCUGCAACACAUUCCAUUAAAGCUGGGACAGAGGCAUGUUUUCCACUGUGUUACAUCACCUUUCCUUUUAACAACAAUGAGUAAGUGUUUGGGAACUGAGUACACUAAUUGUUGAAGCUUUGCAGGAAGAAUCCUUUCCCAUUCUUGCUGAAUGUACAACUUCAGUUGCUCAGGAGUCCAGGAUCCCCGUUGUCAUAUUUUGCACUUCAUAAUGCACCACACAUUUUCAACAGGAGGCAGGUCUGUACUGCAGGCAGGCCAGUCUAGUAUCAACACUCUUUUACUACGAAGCCACGCUGUUGUAACACAUGCAGAAUGUGGCUUGGCAUUGUCUUGCUGAAAUAAACAGGGACGUCCUUGAAAAAGACGUUGCUUGGAUGGCAGCAUAUGUUGCUCCAAAACCUAUAUGUACCCUUCAGCAUUAAUGGUGCCUUCACAGAUGCUCCUUUUAUACCCAAUCAUGACACUUGCCUGUUUCCAAUUAACCUGUUCACCUGUGGAAUAAUCCAAACAGGUGUAUUUUAAGCAUUCCUCAAUUCCCAUUCUUUUGUUGCCCCUCUCCCAGCUUUAUUGGAACGUGUUGUAGGCAUCAAAUUGAAAAUGAAUAUUUGCAUAAAAGCAAUAAAGUUUUUCAGUUUGAACAUUAAAUAUCAUGUCUUUGUAGUUUAUUCAGUUCAAUAAUGAUUGAAAAGGGUUUGCAAAUCAUUGUAUUCUGUAUUUUAUUUUAUUUUUUUUUAAGUUUUACACAAUGUCCCAACUUCAUUGUAAUUGGUGUUGUAUGAGAAAUACUUGGUACAGGUACUAUCCCACCAAGUCAAGUCAGAAUCAGUGUUGGGAUGUAAUUAAAUACACUGAAAAUACAUAUUCUGAAUACUAAUUUUCAUGUGACUGUGUUCCGGUACAGUUACUUAUUUGGUCGUAUCCAGAGUAGAAUUACUUUUUUAAACAUAACACUUGGCGGCACUUGAUCAUAAAAUUUUGGCUUUUACCUGUAAAGUAUUACUGAUUAGAGAUUUGCAUACUGUAAUUAAACAUAAAUGCAUAACAAGCUUUGCACCGAAAAUUAUUCUGUAACUACUUUUUAAUAUUCUUCCCGUCACUGAUCAUAAUAAGCAAAUAUAGAAACUGUUGUGACCAUCCGUUCUUUCUAAUUGUUCAUGUCUUGUCUUUUUGUAUGUGUGUAUGUAUAUGUAAAUUUUAAUAUUGACCGCUCCCCCUGAUGACUACAGAUGGAAAUUAGCUAUAAAGCUAAAAUCUGGUACAAGCAUCUCUGCC